CCCAAGUCAGGCUCAGCCUUGCAUUCUCUAUCUGCAGCUUGUGGAUCAGAUAUGAGCACUCAACCCUGCUUCAGAGCUGUACCUGCCUGCCACCAUGCUUCCUGCCACGAUCAUGGACUGACCCUCUGGAACUGUAGUUCCAGUAAAGCCUUUAAAGGGCUGAUGGUUCGGUGAGUAGAAGCACUUGCAUCCAGGCCUGACGACCUGAGGUUGAUCCCUGGAUCCCACAUAACAGAAGGAGAGAGCCAGCUCCUGCAAGGUACUAACUUUGCUGAGGGGAGAGGAGAAACAAGCACGGAAGAGUCAAGCACUCACUUGAGAUCUAAUAUGGGAUGAACACCUGAACUGGGUAUGGUGCUGAGAUGCACAACUUAACUUAUUCCUCAGAACAAGCUUAUCAUCUCCAUGGGGCACACCAGAAAACUGGGAUUCAGGUGGGGA